AGUCCAAACUUUCAUAUCAAUAAUAUUCCAUAGAAAUUAUAGUCAAAUCAGAAAAAGAUUGUUGAAUAUCCUAAAAUAUUAAGUAGUUAAUUAUAUUUAUUAUUAUUAACUAUACUGCUCUGAAAUAAAUACAUUUUAAUUAAAUUCUUUUGAUUAACAAUUUGUAUGACUUGUUAUAUUUUAAUACAAGUAACUGAUAUUCACUAUGAAUUUUAAUAUACAUUUA